CCUACGGGUGGCAGCAGUGAGGAAUAUUGGUCAAUGGGCGCGAGCCUGAACCAGCCAAGUCGCGUGAGGGAAGACGGUCCUAUGGAUUGUAAACUUCUUUUGUCGGGGAGCAAAAGACGCCACGCGUGGCGUUCCGAGUGUACCCGAAGAAAAAGCAUCGGCUAACUCCGUGCCAGCAGCCGCGGUAAUACGGAGGAUGCGAGCGUUAUCCGGAUUUAUUGGGUUUAAAGGGUGCGCAGGGGGAAGAUCAAGUCAGCGGUAAAAUUGAGGGGCUCAACCUCUUCGAGCCGUUGAAACUGGUUGUCUUGAGUGAGUGUGAGGUAUGCGGAAUGCGUGGUGUAGCGGUGAAAUGCAUAGAUAUCACGCAGAACUCCGAUUGCGAAGGCAGCAUACCGGCGCUCAACUGACGCUGAUGCACGAAAGUGUGGGUAUCGAACAGGAUUAGAUACCCUGGUAGUC
rnacentral:rRNA from 1 species